rnacentral:misc_RNA from 1 species
UCUCCGUAGGUGAACCUGUGGAGGGAUCAUUACUGAGUGAGGGCCUUCGGGCUCGACCUCCAACCCUUUUGUGAACCACCUCGUUGCUUCGGGGGCGACCCUGCCGUUCGCGGCGUGGGGCCCCCGGAGCCCAUCAAACCCUGCGUAACUAAGUCGUCGGAGUUUAAACAAAUUAAACAAAACUUUCAACAACGGAUCUCUUGGUUCUGGCAUCGAUGAAGAACGCGC